CCAAUAGCGUAUAUUAAAGUUGCUGCAGUUAAAAAGCUCGUAGUUGAAUUUCGGGACUAAUAUGUCGGUCGUGCCUCGGUACGUACUGGUAUUUUUGGUUUCUCCCUUCUGACGAACCUUGAUGUCAUUAAUUUGGUGUCUUGGGAAAUCAGGACUGUUACUUUGAAAAAAUUAGAGUGUUUAAAGCAGGCUCACGCUUGAAUACAUUAGCAUGGAAUAAUGAAAUAGGACGUUUGAUUCUAUUUUGUUGGUUUCUAGGAUCGACGUAAUGAUUAAUAGGGAUAGUUGGUGGCAUUAGUAUUCAAUUGUCAGAGGUGAAAUUCUUGGAUUUAUUGAAGACUAACUACUGCGAAAGCAUUUGCCAAGGAUGUUUUCAUUAAUCAAGAACGAAAGUUAGAGGUUCGAAGGCGAUCAGAUACCGCCCUAGUUCUAACCAUAAACGAUGCCAACCAGCGAUUAGCCUGAGUUCCUUAAAUGACUCGGCUAGCAGCUUCCG
rnacentral:misc_RNA from 1 species